rnacentral:rRNA from 1 species
AUAUCAAUAAGCGGAGGAAAAGAAACUAACAAGGAUUCCCCUAGUAACGGCGAGUGAAGCGGGAUGAGCUCAAAUUUAAAAUCUGGCUGGUUUACUAGUCCGAAUUGUAGUUUAUAGAAGCGUUUUCGGUGGCAGCCUGGGUAUAAAUCCUUUGGAAUAGGGUAUCAUAGAGGGUGAGAAUCCCGUAUGUGACUGGGUACCUACGCUCAUGUGAAGCUCUUUCGACGAGUCGAGUUGUUUGGGAAUGCAGCUCAAAAUGGGUGGUAAAUUUCAUCUAAAGCUAAAUAUUGGCCAGAGACCGAUAGCGCACAAGUAGAGUGAUCGAAAGAUGAAAAGCACUUUGGAAAGAGAGUUAAACAGUACGUGAAAUUGUUGAAAGGGAAGCGCUUGCAAUCAGACUUGCGCCUAGUUGAUCAUCCGGGCUUCUGCCCGGUGCACUCGAUUAGGCUCAGGCCAGCAUCGGUUUGGGUGGUUGGAUAAAGGCUUGGGGAACGUAGCCUCCUUCGGGGGGUGUUAUAGCCCCAGGUGCAAUGCAGCCCACCUGGACCGAGGACCGCGCUUCGGCUAGGAUGCUGGCGUAAUGGUUGUAAGCGA